rnacentral:rRNA from 1 species
GCGAUACAGGGUGACAGCCCCGUACACAAAAAUGCACAUGCUGUGAGCUCGAUGAGUAGGGCGGGACACGUGGUAUCCUGUCUGAAUAUGGGGGGACCAUCCUCCAAGGCUAAAUACUCCUGACUGACCGAUAGUGAACCAGUACCGUGAGGGAAAGGCGAAAAGAACCCCGGCGAGGGGAGUGAAAAAGAACCUGAAACCGUGUACGUACAAGCAGUGGGAGCACGCUUAGGCGUGUGACUGCGUACCUUUUGUAUAAUGGGUCAGCGACUUAUAUUCUGUAGCAAGGUUAACCGAAUAGGGGAGCCGAAGGGAAACCGAGUCUUAACUGGGCGUUAAGUUGCAGGGUAUAGACCCGAAACCCGGUGAUCUAGCCAUGGGCAGGUUGAAGGUUGGGUAACACUAACUGGAGGACCGAACCGACUAAUGUUGAAAAAUUAGCGGAUGACUUGUGGCUGGGGGUGAAAGGCCAAUCAAACCGGGAGAUAGCUGGUUCUCCCCGAAAGCUAUUUAGGUAGCGCCUCGUGAAUUCAUCUCCGGGGGUAGAGCACUGUUUCGGCAAGGGGGUCAUCCCGACUUACCAACCCGAUGCAAACUGCGAAUACCGGAGAAUGUUAUCACGGGAGACACACGGCGGGUGCUAACGUCCGUCGUGAAGAGGGAAACAACCCAGACCGCCAGCUAAGGUCCCAAAGUCAUGGUUAAGUGGGAAACGAUGUGGGAAGGCCCAGACAGCCAGGAUGUUGGCUUAGAAGCAGCCAUCAUUUAAAGAAAGCGUAAUAGCUCACUGGUCGAGUCGGCCUGCGCGGAAGAUGUAACGGGGCUAAACCAUGCACCGAAGCUGCGGCAGCGACGCUGAUGCGUUGUUGGGUAGGGGAGCGUUCUGUAAGCCUGCGAAGGUGUGCUGUGAGGCAUGCUGGAGGUAUCAGAAGUGCGAAUGCUGACAUAAGUAACGAUAAAGCGGGUGAAAAGCCCGCUCGCCGGAAGACCAAGGGUUCCUGUCCAACGUUAAUCGGGGCAGGGUGAGUCGACCCCUAAGGCGAGGCCGAAAGGCGUAGUCGAUGGGAAACAGGUUAAUAUUCCUGUACUUGGUGUUACUGCGAAGGGGGGACGGAGAAGGCUAUGUUGGCCGGGCGACGGUUGUCCCGGUUUAAGCGUGUAGGCUGGUUUUCCAGGCAAAUCCGGAAAAUCAAGGCUGAGGCGUGAUGACGAGGCACUACGGUGCUGAAGCAACAAAUGCCCUGCUUCCAGGAAAAGCCUCUAAGCAUCAGGUAACAUCAAAUCGUACCCCAAACCGACACAGGUGGUCAGGUAGAGAAUACCAAGGCGCUUGAGAGAACUCGGGUGAAGGAACUAGGCAAAAUGGUGCCGUAACUUCGGGAGAAGGCACGCUGAUAUGUAGGUGAAGUCCCUCGCGGAUGGAGCUGAAAUCAGUCGAAGAUACCAGCUGGCUGCAACUGUUUAUUAAAAACACAGCACUGUGCAAACACGAAAGUGGACGUAUACGGUGUGACGCCUGCCCGGUGCCGGAAGGUUAAUUGAUGGGGUCAGCGCAAGCGAAGCUCUUGAUCGAAGCCCCGGUAAACGGCGGCCGUAACUAUAACGGUCCUAAGGUAGCGAAAUUCCUUGUCGGGUAAGUUCCGACCUGCACGAAUGGCGUAAUGAUGGCCAGGCUGUCUCCACCCGAGACUCAGUGAAAUUGAACUCGCUGUGAAGAUGCAGUGUACCCGCGGCAAGACGGAAAGACCCCGUGAACCUUUACUAUAGCUUGACACUGAACAUUGAGCCUUGAUGUGUAGGAUAGGUGGGAGGCUUUGAAGUGUGGACGCCAGUCUGCAUGGAGCCGACCUUGAAAUACCACCCUUUAAUGUUUGAUGU